UUUUUUUUAAAUUAAUAUUGUCAAUAUUCAACCAAUAAGCAACUUUAUCGGUACAGAAUGUCUCUUAACGGUUGCGUCGCUCAACUGAUAAACAACCGUUAAGUUAACGCUAGCUAGCUAACGGUCCUACACCAGAGCUACCUGGACAUGAAAAAUAGCCCGGAGGUUUCACGUUUACUUUAUCGUUGAAAACUCUGGGACAGGGAGCAACUUUUUGGAGCCCGAAAACAAGCAACUGUGUUCAAGAAGGCGGCUACACUUGCACUUGCUCAACGGCGGGUAAAGUCAGCUCCACCGCCACCGGUGUUACACCGUAUUUCGUGACCCAUCAGAUUCUGUGACCUGCAGUGUUUGAAGAAGUAACAGAAUCCGAUAGGUCACCACAGUACAGUACAGUAUAACACCGGCGGGACAGGACAACAAGCGAAGGAACCUGGACAGCAGCGGCCCCAUACAGACAGGAAUGGCCAGAGAGAAGCUACGACGACUACUAAAACAAUUAAUGGUGAUUGGUGGCUUAGUUUCAGCUUGGCUAUCAACUGAAGUAUUCCUGAAUUAUGGGGCGCAGUUGUGGACUUCAAAAUUUCAACAACAACAGUUUAAAAUCAACGGUUAACGGUUUUUAAACGGAUUCUGACCAGCCAAUAAGUUCGAGGCACUUCGGUGACGUCAUAGUUGUACAGUUUGCAUACAAAACUGUUCAACAGAAGCUCUUCUAAAGAUACCUUGUCUUCAGAAUUCAGGUGAACACCUCCAUACUUCACAGCACAUAAGCAGACAAAGCGUGUCUCUGCUCAGCCCAGGCUGUUAAACCUGAAAAAACUGCACUGGGGAGUUUGCAUCAAAACUAAAAGGUAGCCACCCAUUCGUUAUAAGAUGGGAAGGUGGACUCACCAAAGCAGUCUGGGUCUUUGCAUAGUUCAUGUGGGCGUAGAGCAGCACAGCUGUGUCGUUGUGAGACGCCUCCAGUGCAAUGGACAAAGCAUUGCUGCCAUCCUGUAGACAGAAGGGAGGAGGAAAGAGAAAGGGAGAAACCGAAGCAGAGAUAAAAGAAGGGAAGAGGGAGAAAAAUAUCUAUAUUGGACUGACUGACCUGCACACAAUUUGUCCGUUCCACUCUUUGCCCAGUGUAGCUGUAACUUCAGAGAAACCAUAACGCUUCCAAACAAAAGGCCUAAAUAACAUUGGAGGCACUUCCAGUUACUCUUUGCAUUCCCGAUAUGAGCUAUACAUCCAGAAGCUAACCUGACUAGCAUGGUCUAGCUAAAAGACAACAACUGUGGAAACCUCACACAUUAACCUCUAUGUUCUACACAUGCCAAGAUGUAGACCUAAUAGACAGUAUUCAGCUAAAUCAACAGAAAUGUUUUCAUUGAUGGGGUAUACUGAACUAGAAAGUCACAUAGCAAACAGCUUGGGACAAAUCAUGAACCGUUAAACCCCUAGUUAAUAAAAUACAUGCAAUGAGAAUCAGACUGAAAAAACUGGCACUGCACUCCUUUAAAUAUGUAACACCACUGUGCCUUACAGUCACGAUUUGUCAUGCUGAGAGCAGCAUGUCAAAUCAUGACUGACCGCUCCCCCCACCCUGCAAGUCCACCUCUUGGUCCAGCUGUGCUGUGCUGCAGUGAAACACAAUCCAAGAGCAGCCUGCACUGAAUGGCCAACUCAUUAUGGCACAGAUGUGAACAAUCAAAUAUCUCUCUGCCUGGCGGUUCUUCAAGCAUCCAGACCAAUCCAGUGUAAAAUCACUUUAAAACACAAGGCAAGUACAGAUUAACAAAGAAGUAAGAAAUGUCAGAAGCAGCAAUGAGAAGAGUUUCUUCCCAGAGAGAGAUUUCUGCUAGAAAAGUAAAUAAUCUGCGGACAUAAUGGUGGUAAAAAUCUGAACAAUUUGUGAUACAUUUCAAUUGGUUGACAAAAUGAUAAAUCUUGGGUAUGAUGGAUUCUUCAGAGUUUAGAAAUGAUUCCUCAUUGACUUACUUUUUCCACUUUUUUUGUUUUUAGGACAGGACAUUUUUUGUAAACUAACAAUUGCUUCUGACUUGUGCAUGGGUCAUGUGGUGAGAUAUGCAGAGGACUGCUGCCAGAGCCUGCAGGGCAUUGUGUCUGAAUUCUGCAAUUCUGCAGUUGUGGCUUUUUAAUUCAUCUCCUGGGGGCUUGUGUGUAGUGCAGUGAUUAUGUUUCCUGUAAACAACACUGAUUUGAGGGAAGGACAGAGAAAACUAAUCUGACCGUGGCUCUUUAGCUUUCAGCCUGUCUUGCAAACUGAGAAAAAACGAAAGAACAGCAAAAGGUGGUGACAAGAAAAGGAAACUGCAUAGACCCAAAAAAAAAAAAAAAAAUUCCCAUGAGGAGUCGUUUCCUGAGCACAGAUUAAGCUGAAUCCCAGACGUGAACGCACUCAGAUGUUUUCAGCUGUCAGACAUCCAGCAGUUGGCUCAGAGUAAGCAGGCAUUCAGACUGAAAACAGCCCUUCACUAAAAUAACACCGGGAGCUGCGUUGGUGGGCGUGUUGCUUCAGGUACUGAUGAGACAUGAAUACGAUGCAGGAAGUCUGGUUUGAGUUACAGAUCCAUGAUUUCGUAGGUUUUAUCAGACACCAAAACACUGCGGUUUAUAAUACUUAAAGAAAGAAUUUUACAGCUCUGGAAAAUUAUCACGAUGGUAAUUGAUUUAUCUUUUGUUGCAAUGAUUGUGAGGUUAACAGAGUAGAAAUACUCUGUUCAUGUUACAGAAUAAUCCACCAGGAAUCUGUGCUUGCAUGUAUGUGAUUGGCCAAUCCAGCACCUUGCCAUAUGACCCUGAGUUUUUGAGCUCCCUGCACUGGCAACCAUGCACCUCUGGACUGGGCUCCUUCAAAUGAAUGCGGCAACUGUGUUUUUUGCACGCUGGGUUAAUGUUGAUCUGAUUGGGGGGCUAAGUCACUGAGAGUUCCUUUCAAUGAGUGCAGCAGUUAAAUGCCUAAAAUGUAAA